GAGGAACGAUCGGCUGGUUGGUGGCUGGUAGAGUUUGACGCUCUGACAUAACAAAGUUCCGGUGACGCUAACCGUGGCAAAGUGUUGGGAUCCGAACCCGCGAGGCUGCUUCACGUUGCCGAGAAGCGAACCAGUCCGUCCCAUCGACCCUGCUGCCUGGGUGUCUCACACCGCCGCCAUGACGGGGAGGCUCCUCCCACUAUACGGCGUGAACGAGGAGAACCACCUCAACAUCCACAGUGACAUGACCAUGGUUGUCAAGGCGAUGGCCAAUCCCGAGUCUGGCCUGGAGGUCCGAGACAGGAUGUGGCUGAAGAUCACCAUCCCCAACGCUUUCAUCGGUAAGAAGUCCGGCUCAUAUUUUGGUCUGA